GUAACUCAAACAAUUUUCAGAAUUUAGUCCCCCUCCGACUUGCAGACCACCUAAAUAUUACCAGUCCUCCACAUUAAAUUGAGCGGAGGAAAAAUCUAAAAGUUUUAAAGAUAUCGGGUGAGUUUGGUACUUUGGUUAAGCUUUUUUUUUAAAAGAAAAAAGCACUUAUUUUAUAAUAAAAAAAGCGCUUAUUAUAAAAUUUUAGAUGUUUGUAUAAACUUAUUUUAAAAAGCAGAAGCUGAAAAUAAGCUGGUGGGGAAGCAAUUUUGCAAAAACACGGAAGACACUCCUAUGGAAGAUGUAUGACACAAAUACCCCGGUUUUUAACGCACUCUUCCAACCUUCAUUUAGUGGUUUCCAUCUUCUCCCAUCGAGAGACCUAGCACCUGGUGUCGCUCCGCAACAGUCGCCUGGUUACCUCCGCUAUAGUCUCCCUCCCAAUUCAUGCGAGUUCAUAUUAAUUUAGAACGAAAUCCCUAAUUUGGUUUGUACAUGUUUGUUGCUUGGGUUAAUUUAGAAUGAAAUCCCUAAUUUUGUUUGUGAUUGUUGUUUGAAAAUUGGGGGUUCUUGAUCUAGAUUAUGUUAUAUAGGGAACAAGUGAGAAUUUUCUGCUGCAGUGUUGUGUAUGUAGUGUGUGGUUUCAAUUGUUGGCUGGUGGGGGUAAUUUGCACACCAAAUCCUUCAUGGAUGUGGUUCAAGGCAAAGGCUUUUCUUCAUCUUUUUAUGAUUGUCCGAAUAUCCAGCUUUAGUAUUUCAACAUUUUGAUCCAUUCUUAAGCUGGUCUUUGGAGAUUUGAUUUUUUGAUGAUUCUGGGAGUUGGGAUGAUUGAAGGCAAAUCACAAUUUAUUGUUGAGUGGGGCGAGCAACACUAAUAUUUUGUUUUAUUUUCUUUUGUUGCAUCAAUGUUAUCAAAUAUUUUAUUUGGGGUUUGAACCUUUGAGGUUAGCUACUUAAUUUUCUGGUUUGCUGCAUCUAUGUUAUCAAAUAUUUUAUCGACGUUUCAUUAAGGGAUAUGCUUCGAUUGCGGCUCCUUUAACCAAGCUAUUGGCGAAGGACCAAUUCCAGUGGAC
rnacentral:lncRNA from 1 species